UAGGGAAUAUUGCAAAAUGGGCGAAAGCCCGAUGCAGCAACGCCGCGUGGGCGAUGAAGGCCUUCGGGUCGUAAAGCCCUUUUUGAGGGGAUGAGGAAGGACAGUACCCUCAGAAUAAGCCUCGGCUAACUACGUGCCAGCAGCCGCGGUAAAACGUAGGAGGCGAGCGUUAUCCGGAUUUACUGGGCGUAAAGCGCGUGCAGGCGGAUUGGAGAGUUGGAUGUGAAAGCUCCCGGCUUAACUGGGAGAGGUCGUUCAAUACUUCCAGUCUUGAGUGCAGUAGAGGGAAGGGGAAUUCCGGGUGUAGUGGUGAAAUGCGUAGAUAUCCGGAGGAACACCAGUGGCGAAAGCGGCUUCCUGGACUGUAACUGACGCUCAGACGCGAAAGCUAGGG
rnacentral:rRNA from 1 species